UACGUAGGGUGCGAGCGUUAAUCGGAAUUACUGGGCGUAAAGCGUGCGCAGGCGGUGAUGUAAGACAGUUGUGAAAUCCCCGGGCUCAACCUGGGACCUGCAUUUGUGACUGCAUGGCUAGAGUUUGGCAGAGGGGGGUAGAAUUCCACGUGUAGCAGUGAAAUGCGUAGAUAUGUGGAGGAAUACCGAUGGCGAAGGCAGCCCCCUGGGUCAAGACUGACGCUCAUGCACGAAAGCGUGGGGAGCAAACAGG
rnacentral:rRNA from 1 species